rnacentral:rRNA from 1 species
AACGCGAAGAACCCUUCCUACCCUGACAUCCACGAACCUUGGAGAGAUCCUGGGGUGCCCGAAAGGGAACGGGGACACAGGUCUGCAUGGCUGUCGUCAGCUCGUGUCGUGAGAUGUGGGGUUAGGUCCCGCAACGAGCCAACCCCUGCCUUAGUUCCACGGCUUGGCCGGGCACUCUAAGGGACUGCCGGUGACAAACCGGAGGAAGGUGGGGAGACGUCAAGUCAUCAUGGCCCUUAGGGGGCUCACACGUCUACAAUGGCGGUACAGAGGGUUGCAAGCCGCGAGGCGGAGCCAAUCCCAGAAAGCGCGUCGUAGUCCGGAUUGCAGUCUGCAACUCGACUGCAUGAAGUCGGAAUCGCUAGUAAUCG